rnacentral:rRNA from 1 species
UACGUAGGGGGCGAGCGUUGUCCGGAUUUAUUGGGCGUAAAGAGCGUGUAGGCGGCUUGGUAGGUCUGCUGUGAAAACUCGGGGCUCAACCCCGAGACGUCGGUGGAAACCACCUGGCUAGAGUCCGGAAGAGGAGAGUGGAAUUCCUGGUGUAGCGGUGAAAUGCGUAGAUAUCUGGAGGAACACCGGUGGCGAAGGCGGCAUCCUGGACCAACACUGACGCUGAGGAGCGAAAGCCAGGGGAGCAAACGGG